rnacentral:rRNA from 1 species
GAUGAACGCUGGCGGCGUGCCUAACACAUGCAAGUCGAGCGAUUUACUUCGGUAAAGAGCGGCGGACGGGUGAGUAACGCGUGGGUAACCUGCCCUGUACGCACGGAUAACAUACCGAAAGGUAUGCUAAUACGAGAUAAUAUACUUUUAUCGCAUGGUAGAAGUAUCAAAGCUUUUGCGGUACAGGAUGGACCCGCGUCUGAUUAACUAGUUGGUAAGGUAACGGCUUACCAAGGCGACGAUCAGUAGCCGACCUGAGAGGGUGAUCGGCCACAUUGGAACUGAGACACGGUCCAAACUCCUACGGGAGGCAGCAGUGGGGAAUAUUGCACAAUGGGCGAAAGCCUGAUGCAGCAACGCCGCGUGAGCGAUGAAGGCCUUCGGGUCGUAAAGCUCUGUCCUCAAGGAAGAUAAUGACGGUACUUGAGGAGGAAGCCCCGGCUAACUACGUGCCAGCCGCCGCAGUAA